CCUACGGGAGGCUGCAGUGAGGAAUAUUGGUCAAUGGACGAGAGUCUGAACCAGCCAAGUAGCGUGAAGGAUGACUGCCCUAUGGGUGGUAAACUUCUUUUAUAAAGGAAUAAAACGAGGCACGUGUGCCUUUUUGCAUUUACUUUAUGAAUAAGGAUCGGCUAACUCCGUGCCAGCAGCCGCGGUAAUACGGAGGAUCCGAGCGUUAUCCGGAUUUAUUGGGUGUAAAGGGAGCGUAGAUGGGUUGUUAAGUCAGUUGUGAAAGUUUGCGGCUCAACCGUAAAAUUGCAAUUGAUACUGGCAGUCUUGAGUACAGUUGAGGUAGGCGGAAUUCGUGGUGUAGCGGUGAAAUGCUUAGAUAUCACGAAGAACCCCGAUUGCGAAGGCAGCUUACUAAACUGUGACUGACAUUGAUGCUCGAAAGUGUGGGUAUCAAACAGGAUUAGAUACCCGGGUAGUC
rnacentral:rRNA from 1 species